AGUGAACGCUGGCGGUAGGCCUAAUACAUGCAAGUCGAACGGCAGCACAGUAAGAGCUUGCUCUUACGUGUGGCGCGUGGCGGACGGUUGAGCAAUACAUCGGAAUCUACUUUUUCGUGGUGAUAACGUAGGAAAACUUACGCUAAUACCGCAUACGUCCUACCGGUUAAAGCAAGGGAGCUUCGGACCUUGCGCGUUUGAAUUAGCCGUUGUCGGAUUAGCUAGUUGGCGGGGUAAAGGCCCACCAAGGCGACGAUCCGUAGCUGGUCUGAGAGGAUGAUCAGCCACACUGGAACUGAGACACGGCCCAGACUCCUACGGGAGGCAGCAGUGGGGAAUAUUGGACAAUGGGCGCAAGCCUGACGCAGCCAUGCCGCGUGAGUGAAGAAGGCCUUCGGGUUGUAAAGCCCUGUUGUUGGGAAAGAAAAGGAGCAGGUUAAUCCCCCGCUGUUCUGACGGUACCCAAAGAAUAAGCACCGGCUAACUUCGUG
rnacentral:rRNA from 1 species